GAUGAACGCUGGCGGCGUGCCUAAUACAUGCAAGUCGAGCGAACGGACGAGAAGCUUGCUUCUCUGAUGUUAGCGGCGGACGUGUGAGUAACACGUGGAUAACCUACCUAUAAGACUGGGAUAACUUCGGGAAACCGUAGCUAAUACCGGAUAAUAUUUUGAACCUCAUGGUUCAAAAGUGAAAGACGGUCUUUCUGUCACUUAUAGAUGUAUCCGCGCUGCAUUAGCUAGUUGGUAAGGUAACGGCUUACCAAGGCAACGAUGCAUAGCCGACCUGAGAGGGUGAUCGGCCACACUGGAACUGAGACACGGUCCAGACUCCUACGGGAGGCAGCAGUAGGGAAUCUUCCGCAAUGGGCGAAAGCCUGACGGAGCAACGCCGCGUGAGUGAUGAAGGUCUUCGGAUCGUAAAACUCUGUUAUUAGGGAAGAACAUAUGUGUAAGUAACUGUGCACAUCUUGACGGUACCUAAUCAGAAAGCAACGGCUAACUACGUG
rnacentral:rRNA from 1 species